rnacentral:misc_RNA from 1 species
GGACAAAAGAAAGUGAGUAGAUGCAUGGGAAAUAGUGAAAAAGGAUAUAGUGGUCCUAGAUCUUUCAAAAAAUAUAAAACUAAACCAAGUGGAACAGAGAGAGAGGAUCCAUGUAGCUGAGUUCAGUGUCUCUAAUCUCCCUCUUGCUAGAGAUUACACAUGCACUUAAAUUGGGUAUAAGUUCUCCAAUAUCUAGCUUUUAUUCAUUGGUAAAGGGAAAAAUGAUUAAAA